CCUACGGGAGGCUGCAGUGGGGAAUAUUGGACAAUGGGGGGAACCCUGAUCCAGCCAUGCCGCGUGUGUGAAGAAGGCCCUCGGGUUGUAAAGCACUUUCAGUGAGGAAGAACGCCUGGUGGUUAAUACCCAUCAGGAAAGACAUCACUCACAGAAGAAGCACCGGCUAACUCCGUGCCAGCAGCCGCGGUAAUACGGAGGGUGCGAGCGUUAAUCGGAAUUACUGGGCGUAAAGCGCGCGUAGGUGGCUUGAUAAGCCGGUUGUGAAAGCCCCGGGCUCAACCUGGGAACGGCAUCCGGAACUGUCAAGCUAGAGUGCAGGAGAGGAAGGUAGAAUUCCCGGUGUAGCGGUGAAAUGCGUAGAGAUCGGGAGGAAUACCAGUGGCGAAGGCGGCCUUCUGGACUGACACUGACACUGAGGUGCGAAAGCGUGGGUAGCAAACAGGAUUAGAUACCCGGGUAGU
rnacentral:rRNA from 1 species